CAUACAGGAGGUCGUGGGUUCAAUUCCCACAGCGGCCCGGCCGCUUGGUCUAGUAGUAUGAUUCCUGUUUUGGGAG
rnacentral:tRNA from 1 species